UGCACUUGUAUUUGUUUUUAACUUGUGGACAAAGACUGCUACACAGGUGCAAAAAAUAAAUCCUCUUUUGCAACCCAGAACUCAUUGAUCAGUAUGAGUUUUGAUACACACCAGCAGGAAUAGG
ensembl:snoRNA